rnacentral:rRNA from 1 species
UUGUUGCUUCGGCGGGCCCGCCGUUUCGACGGCCGCCGAGGGAGGCCUUGCGCCCCCGGGCCCGCGCCCGCCGAAGACCCCAACAUGAACGCUGUUCUGAAAGUAUGCAGUCUGAGUUGAUUAUCGUAAUCAGUUAAAACUUUCAACAACGGAUCUCUUGGUUCCGGCAUCGAUGAAGAACGCAGCGAAAUGCGAUAAGUAAUGUGAAUUGCAGAAUUCAGUGAAUCAUCGAGUCUUUGAACGCACAUUGCGCCCCCUGGUAUUCCGGGGGGCAUGCCUGUCCGAGCGUCAUUGCUGCCCUCAAGCACGGCUUGUGUGUUGGGCCCCCGUCCCCCUCUCCCGGGGGACGGGCCCGAAAGGCAGCGGCGGCACCGCGUCCGGUCCUCGAGCGUAUGGGGCUUUGUCACCUGCUCUGUAGGCCCGGCCGGCGCCAGCCGACACCCAACUUUUAUUUUUCUAAGGUUGACCUCGGAUCAGGUAGGGAUACCCGCUG